rnacentral:tRNA from 1 species
GUCUUCGUGGUGUAAUGGUCAACACACCUGAACCGGUAUUUCAGAGGUCCGUGGUUCGAUCCCCGGCGAAGGCA